rnacentral:misc_RNA from 1 species
CCAAGGUGGAAAUGUCGCACAUCGGAGGGUAGUUGGAAAAGUACGACGAGGGGUAUGAUAGGGCAGGCUAAAAUACGAUGGAAAUUCAACACUAGAAGAGGCAAUAUGCAAUAUCGCGAACUUGGACGCACAGGCUGGAAGGUCUCCACGGUCAGUUUUGGCGCGUGGGCAAUCGGCGGGACGUGGGGCGAUGUGAAAGAUGAUGAGUCGCUGGCCGCAUUAAACCGCGCUCUUGACCUGGGUGUGAACUUCUUCGAUACGGCCGAUGUCUACGGAGAUGGGCGCAGUGAGCAGCUGCUGGCAAAGCUGCGUCGGGAGAGGAGCGAGCCGUUCCAUGUCGCUACCAAGGCCGGGCGGAGAUCCGAUCCGCAUCUGGCAGGUGGAUAUAACAGGCAGAACUGACAGCAUUUGUCGAGCGCAGCCUGAAGAAUCUCGAGGUGGAAGCAAUCGACCUCCUGCAAUUACACUGCCCGCCCACGGAAGUCUUUUACAGGCCGGAAGUGUUCGAUGUAUUGGACGGGCUGGUCCAGCAAGGCAAACUCCGUAAUUACGGUGUAAGCGUUGAAAAAGUGGAGGAAGCGCUGAAGGCGAUAGAAUAUCCGAAUGUGAAGUCGGUGCAGAUCAUCUUCAACAUCUUCCGCCAGCGGCCCAUGGACUUGUUCUUCGAGCAGGCGCAGCGUCGCAAGGUAGGCAUCCUGGCACGUCUGCCGCUUUCCUCGGGCAUGCUGGCUGGGAAGAUGACGCGUGCCAGCUCCUUCGAAGAGAGUGACCAUCGCGGAGGCAACCGCCAUGGUGAGUGGUUCGACCGUGGCGAGACUUUCUCAGGCAUCGAUUAUGACACCGGUCUGCAGGCUGUGGAGGAGAUCCGACCCCUUGUUCCUGCCGACCAGACCAUGGCACAAAUGGCGCUGCGCUGGAUCCUGAUGUUCUCGGCCGUGACCUGCGCCAUCCGGGAGCGAAGCGGCCCUCCCAGGUGGAGGAAAACGUCCAUGCCGCCGACCUGCCUCCGCUUCCGGACGAAGCGAUGAACCAGAUCCGCUCGAUUUACGAUCGCCGGGUGCGCCCGCAGGUCCAUCAUUACUGGUAAAGAGAAAACACGAUGAUCGACAGUUCCAAGCUGUAUUUAUUUAUCGUUGCUGCGCUCGCCCUUCUAUUGGUCCCGGGUCCUGCGGUUUUGUAUAUCACUGCCCGCAGCGCCAGCCAGGGACGCCUGGCAGGCCUAGUCUCAGUGCUGGCCAUUGAGACCGCCAACUUCACGCAGGCUCUCGCCGCGGCUCUCGGACUUGCAGCCAUCUUGUACUCGUCCGCCAUGGCAUUCAAUGUUGUGAAAUAUUUGGGCGCCGCCUAUUUGAUUUACCUGGGCAUCAAUAAAUUGUUUUUCUCAAGUGACAGGGGUGCGGAAGAGACUGUCGCGCCCGACAGUCUCUGGCGCAUUUACUGGCAGGGAUUUGCCGUCAACAUCCUGAACCCGAAGACUGCUCUUUUCUUCUUCGCCUUCCUGCCUCAGUUUGUAAACCCGGAAAAAGGAAACUCCACCUCACAGACCCUGUUGCUGGGCGCGAUCUUUGUGGGGCUGGCGAUCAUCACAGACAGCUUGUAUGCCCUGCUGGCCAGUUCCCUGGCAGGCCAGUUGAAGGGAAGCAAAAAUUUCCAAAAAGGGGGCCGUUAUUUUGCCGGUCUAAUCUACAUCGGUCUGGGCAUUACCACCGCGUUGACAGGGUCGAAGAAAUAGGGUUGGCAGUUUAAGCGAUCCUCCAACAAGCAACAUAUAUCCAACGUAGCCAGCCCGCUUAGCGAGCGUGACUUUGUAGCCGGUCUUGCCUGCGGGCGUUUGUAAGACAGUCAAAAACAGGACAAUUUAAAAGAACAGCGCGCCGUUCAUAAGCCCGGGAUAGCCCUUCUGAGCAAUUUUCCUCCGCCCUUAUCUCAAGUAUAAUCACGCCCAUGACUAUCAAGACUCAACUGAACGAUUCGUUAAGAGAUGCCAUGAAGAGCGGGGACGAGGUCCGCAAGCGUACGGUGCGCAUGGCCCUGGCCUCCAUCAAACAGGUGGAAGUGGAUAAGCGCGUCGAGCUCGACGAUGCUGCUGUGAUGGGCAUCCUCCAGAAGGAAGUGAAGAACCGGCGCGAGGCCCUGGAGGAAGCCAGAAAGGCAAACCGUCCUGACCUGAUCGAUGCCAAUGAAGCCGAGAUCCGGGUGCUGGAGGCCUUUUUGCCGAAAGCUAUGCCGGCAGAGGAACUGCACACCAUCGUCCAGUCUGCCAUCACAGAAACAGGUGCAACCACUCCAGCCGACAUGGGGAAGGUCAUGAAGGUCGUCAUGCCAAAAGUCGCGGGCCGCGCGCCCAAUGACAUGAUCAGCGCGACCGUGCGGGAACUGCUCCAAAAAUAAAAUGGGGACACCCGACGCGCGAAACCGUCCCUACCCCGCGCGCAUCCGCACGCUGCAGCUUACCCUGCUUGUCCUUGUCAGCAUCAUAUCCUAUGGAGCGCUCGUACUCCCGCAGGCCUUUCGCCCUGCGGCUUUACAGAUCCAGGUAGG